rnacentral:lncRNA from 1 species
AAAUAUUCUUUAAAAAAAUUAAAUGUUACAAAUUUCAAUGCAUUGAUUACAUAAUUUUUCAUAAAAACUUACUGUUAAUGAUUCUUAAAGAGUGUCCAGGGGCACUCGUUAUAAAUAUAACAUAGAUGGCAAGGGAAAAGAAAAGUAAAUAUAAAAUCCAUUUAUUUGAUACCACCACAAUAAUUAAAUGAUAAUUGACACUCAUAUAAUAUUCUUGCAGAUGGGAAAUAACAUAGAUCUUUUUGCUAGUGCAAAAACUCAUUCAUCCACAUAAAGCUUUUGUGUACUUUGUUGAAGCUGGUACUCUUAAAAACCAGUUGGGCAUAGACACCGAAAAUCAAUACACUUUAUACGACAAGAAGAACUACACUUCUUUAUCACACAAUCAGCAUCAGUAAUACAUCCAGCAAGUGCUAUUAUGAAAAAGAAGAAUAAAUCAGAUUUGUUAAAACAAGAAAAAAAAUAUUGUGUACAAAAAACAACGUAAAGAAAGACAAUUGAAGGGUAAAUAUUUUUUUUACCGUCAACUUUGGUUGGAACUACAAAUAGGAAAAUAAAUAGAAACAUUGUGUAAAUAAAUUUAAUGAUUGCAGCCAUAUAUUUCCCCUCUUUUUAUGUAACAGAUAGAACAGGUUAUUUU